CAGCAGCCGCGGUAAUACGUAGGUGGCAAGCGUUGUCCGGAAUUAUUGGGCGUAAAGGGCUCGCAGGCGGUUUCUUAAGUCUGAUGUGAAAGCCCCCGGCUCAACCGGGGAGGGUCAUUGGAAACUGGGAAACUUGAGUGCAGAAGAGGAGAGUGAAAUUCCACGUGUAGCGGUGAAAUGCGUAGAGAUGUGGAGGAACACCAGUGGCGAAGGCGACUCUCUGGUCUGUAACUGACGCUGAGGAGCGAAAGCGUGGGGAGCGAACAGGAUUAGAUACCCGCGUAGUCCCUGUCUCUUAUAC
rnacentral:rRNA from 1 species